UCUCCGUAGGUGAACCUGCGGAGGGAUCAUUACAGAGUUCGUGCCCUCACGGGUAGAUCUCCCACCCUGUGUUAUUAUACCUUUGUUGCUUUGGCGGGCCGCCCUCGGCUACCGGCCCCGGCUAGUACGCGCCCGCCAGAGGACCCCAAACUCUGAAUGUUAGUGUCGUCUGAGUACUGUACAAUAGUUAAAACUUUCAACAACGGAUCUCUUGGUUCUG
rnacentral:misc_RNA from 1 species